rnacentral:rRNA from 1 species
UAAAGAUUUUAAGGGCGUACGGUGGAUGCCUUGGCGAUAUCAGCCGAAGAAGGACGCGGUAAGCUGCGAUAAGCUACGGAGAGGUGCAAGCAACCUGUGACCCGUAGAUUUCCGAAUGGGGGAACCCGGCAGUGGUUAUGCACUGUCACCCAUACCUUUGAGUAUGAGGAGGGCACCCGGGGAACUGAAACAUCUAAUUACCCGGAGGAACAGUAAUCAAACGAGAUUUUCUUAGUAGCGGCGAGCGAACGGGAAAGAGGCCAAACCGGAGCGGGCAACCGCACCGGGGUUGAGGACAGUCAUCAAGUGUAAAUGAGGUAGAAGAAUCGAGCUGGAAAGCUCAGCCGCAGAAGGUGAAAGCCCUGUAAUCGAAACCUUGCAUACACGGGACUGUAUCCAGAGUACCACGAGACACGUGAAACCUUGUGGGAAGCAGGGGGGACCACCCUCCAAGCCAAAAUACUGAUAUCGACCGAUAGCGCAUAGUACCGUGAGGGAAAGGUGAAAAGAACCCCUGGCGGGGAGUGAAAGAGAACCUGAAACCGUAUGUCUACAAACAGUCGAAGUCUGUAUAUAUAUCAGGACGACGGCGUGCCUAUUGAAGAAUGAACCGACGAGUUACUGUUGCUAGCGAGGUUAAGUGGAAAACAUGGAGCCGCAGCGAAAGCGAGUCUGAACAGGGCGUUCAGUUAGUAAUAGUAGACCCGAAACCGUAGUGAUCUAUCCAUGGCCAGGUUGAAGCACAGGUAAAAUUGUGUGGAGGACCGAACUCGUGAGCGUUGAAAAGCUUUGGGAUGAGUUGUGGAUAGGGGUGAAAUGCCAAUCGAACACGGAGAUAGCUGGUUCUCCCCGAAAUAGCUUUAGGGCUAGCCUCGAGGUAGAGAGUAUAGGCGGUAGAGCACUGAUCGGGCUAGGGGCCAUACCGGUUACCGAACCUAGUCAAACUACGAAUGGCUAUACUUAUACUCGGGAGUCAGACAGUGAAUGAUAAGGUCCAUUGUCAAGAGGGAAACAGCCCAGAACACCGACUAAGGUCCCCAAUGUUACACUAAGUGGCGAAGGAUGUGGAAUUUCCAAAACAACCAGGAUGUUGGCUUAGAAGCAGCCACCAUUUAAAGAGUGCGUAAUAGCUCACUGGUCGAGAGACUCUGCGCCGAAAAUGUCCGGGGCUAAAGUGUAAAACCGAAGUCGUGUCAUAUGCAGCAAUGUAUAUGGGUAGGGGAGCGUUCUCAUCGGGCUGAAGCAGUACCGUAAGGAGUUGUGGACUGAUGAGAAGUGAGAAUGUCGGUAUGAGUAGCGAAAAGAAUGGUGAGAAUCCAUUCCACCGAAAGCCUAAGGGUUCCUGAGCAACGAUCGUCGUCUCAGGGUAAGUCGGGACCUAAGCCGAGGCGGAAAAGCGUAGGCGAUGGACAACAGGUUGAAAUUCCUGUACCGGUGUGAAUCGUUUGAUCGAUGGAGUGACACAGUAAGGUAGGUCAGCACGCGAUUGGAAGAGCGUGUUUAAGCAGGUAGGUUGAGCUAUAGGCAAAUCCGUAGCUCUAAAAGCUGAGAUGUGAUGACGAGUGACUAGCAAUAGUCGCGAAGUGAUUGAUCCUACACUGUCGAGAAAAGCUUCUAGGUAGAGACACAUCGCCCGUACCAAAACCGACACAGGUAGGCGGGGAGAGAAUCCUAAGGUGCGCGGGAAAACCCUCGUUAAGGAACUCGGCAAAAUGCAUCCGUAACUUCGGGAAAAGGAUGACCCAUGUAGUGUGAAAGCUUGUAACGGCUCUAGCAUGAAUGGGUGGCACAAGAGAGGCGCAAGCGACUGUUUACCACAAACACAGGUGCCUGCUAAAGCGAAAGCUGAUGUAUAGGUGCUGACACCUGCCCGGUGCUGGAAGGUUAAGAGGAGGGGUUAGACUUCGGUCGAAGCUCUGAAUUGAAGCCCCAGUAAACGGCGGCCGUAACUAUAACGGUCCUAAGGUAGCGAAAUUCCUUGUCGGGUAAGUUCCGACCCGCACGAAAGGCGUAACGAUUUGGGCACUGUCUCAACGAGGGACCCGGUGAAAUUGAAAUACCUGUGAAGAUGCAGGUUACCCGCGACUGGACAGAAAGACCCCAUGGAGCUUUACUGCAACCUAAGAUUGAACUUAGUUAAUGAAUGUACAGGAUAGGUGGGAGACGUAGAACCUAGGACGCCAGUUUUAGGGGAGUCGCUGUUGGGAUACCACCCUUUCAUUAAUUGAUUUCUAACGGGCCGAGUAACGACCGGCCGGACAGUCUUAGGCGGGCAGUUUGACUGGGGCGGUCGCCUCCAAAAGAGUAACGGAGGCGCCCAAAGGUUCCCUCAGAGCGGACGGAAAUCGCUCGAA